rnacentral:rRNA from 1 species
GACGAACGCUGGCGGCGUGCCUAAUACAUGCAAGUAGAACGCACAGUUUAUACCGUAGCUUGCUACACCAUAGACUGUGAGUUGCGAACGGGUGAGUAACGCGUAGGUAACCUGCCUGGUAGCGGGGGAUAACUAUUGGAAACGAUAGCUAAUACCGCAUAAUAUUAAUUAUUGCAUGAUAAUUAAUUGAAAGGUGCAAUUGCACCACUACCAGAUGGACCUGCGUUGUAUUAGCUAGUAGGUGAGGUAACGGCUCACCUAGGCGACGAUACAUAGCCGACCGGAGGGGGGGGUCGGCCACACUGGGACUUGGAAACGGCCCAGACUCCUACGGGAGGCAGCAGUAGGGAAUCUUCGGCAAUGGACGAAAGUCUGACCGAGCAACGCCGCGUGAGGGAAGAAGGUUUUCGGAUCGUAAAGCUCUGUUGUAAGAGAAGAACGGGUGUGAGAGUGGAAAGUUCACACUGUGACGGUAGCUUACCAGAAAGGGACGGCUAACUACGUG